UGAGCUUAGUUUGAAAUCUGAAAAUGGGGUUUAUAGAGGGUAUUCUCCUGUUACUGGAAAAAAAUGUAGGAAGUUGCCGGUAAUGUUGCAAUUUCAUGGUGGGGGGUUUGUGAGUGGAAGUAAUGAUUCAACUGCGAAUGAUUUGUUUUGUAGAAGGAUAGCUAAGCUCUGUGAUGUUAUUAUUUUAGCUGUUGGAUACAGGUUAGCACCUGAGGAUCGGUAUCCAGCUGCAUUUGAGGAUGGAUUGAAGGUGCUGCAUUGGCUGGCGAAACAGGUUAAUUUAGCUGAAUGUAGUAAGUCG
rnacentral:misc_RNA from 1 species